ACAAAGUUUGGGUAAGUAGUACUC
rnacentral:siRNA from 1 species